AUUGAACGCUGGCGGCAUGCCUUACACAUGCAAGUCGAACGGUAACAGGUUAAGCUGACGAGUGGCGAACGGGUGAGUAAUGUAUCGGAACGUGCCCAGUCGUGGGGGAUAACUGCUCGAAAGAGCAGCUAAUACCGCAUACGACCUGAGGGUGAAAGCGGGGGAUCGCAAGACCUCGCGAGAUUGGAGCGGCCGAUAUUAGAUUAGGUAGUUGGUGGGGUAAAGGCCUACCAAGCCUACGAUCUGUAGCUGGUCUGAGAGGACGGCCAGCCACACUGGGACUGAGACACGGCCCAGACUCCUACGGGAGGCAGCAGUGGGGAAUUUUGGACGAUGGACGCAAGUCUGAUCCAGCCAUGCCGCGUGCGGGAAGAAGGCCUUCGGGUUGUAAACCGCUUUUGUCAGGGAAGAAAAGGUUCUGGUUAAUACCUGGGACUCAUGACGGUACCUGAAGAAUAAGCACCGGCUAACUACGUGCCAGCAGCCGCCGUAAAAC
rnacentral:rRNA from 1 species